rnacentral:lncRNA from 1 species
AAGAGUGUUCCAGGCAGAGGGAGUGGCAGGCACCAAGGUUCUGAGAAAGGAUCUUGCCUGGAGCAUGGAUGGAGCCAGGGUGGCUGGAAUGGAGGAAGCCCUGGAGAGAAGAGUAGAAAUGUGGUUUUGGAAGCUUAAUAAGGGCCAGACGAGUAAGGCAUCACUGAGUCUUCAGCCUGCUUUUUGAGAACAAUGGUGGUGGAGCAAGAGAGGAAGCCGAGAGACCAGUAAGGAGGCUCUUUCAAUAAUCCUGGUGAGAGAUCGGGGAGAUUGAGGUGGUGACCGGUGCAGAUUCUGGAUCUCUUUGGAAGGUGGAGACAGCGUGAUUUGCUGACUGGAUUGGAUACAGGGCAGAGCGAAAAGAGUCAACUUCUGACUGUCAAUUUUCUUUAUUUAAGCUUUACAUGGGGAACUGGGGAACUGGGGAACGUGACCGAGUUUGCAUACUGUAGUGUACCAGUAUGGAAGAGCCCUGCAGGGCACAGCACAGCUAUGAGACAAAAAGCCCCUGCAAUGUCACAUGAGGGCUUCGAUGCUAGCACUGGAUUCCCCUCCAGGCUCUCGGCAGAAAGUGAUCUUCCUUCCUCUCCCAGACCCGUGGGAGUCAGGGGCCCCAGGGGUCUGAGCCAACCAGGAUCACUCAGAGGAGAACAGUGCUCUUGGUGACAUUCAGGUCGCAUUUGUCAGAAGGUUCCCACACAUACCCAGGGAAUCUGGAAGAUUAACAGUGAAAAAUGACCUCUUUGAACAGGUGCACACUUCUGGGUAAGUGAAACUCAGCCGAGCGUGGAAUUAUUUUAACAUGGAAAUAAGUUGCGGACAUUCAGAACCGUCACUCUUUUGACCACACAGGAAUCAGACACAUGGUCAAUACUGCAGAGUUUCUCAGGACUGGAAACGGAUGUGUUGGUUGGAUUUUUCCAGAGAAAGCUACACUAUCACAGUGAAAUAAACACCGAUGUCUACCAUAUGACCAUUCAUGUUCAAGUCCCUUCUCCAAAGCAUGUCCCUUUCUUUCCGAAGAACAGAAUAACAAAAUUUCAAGUUAAGAAAUCUGUUCAGGGAAGAUCCUCCAUCACACCAAAUAACAGCAAGUGAAGUAAAUCCACAAUUCUCAGCACCGUGCUUUUGAAAGAUGCCAUGGUCCAGGGAAAAGAGCCCUGGUCAGGUCAGAAGGGGUGGUUCAACACUUGUGGGAAGCCUGCCCAAAGCAGGAUGCUGAACCGCUUGCUCUGUGCCUUGACUUUCUCCUGCGAAAUGCAUAUCCUGGGCCUGGCUGCAGCCCACCUCCUUGCAGAAGGACAAAUUUUCUGUUAAAUGAGGGACACUGUAAAUAUAAAACACUGUCUUCCUGCCAGUGGAUCCGUCACUGCCAUGAACAUGAUUUGAAGUUGUACGUGUCAGAGGGCAGAAUAGCACCAGAGGAACUAUUAAGGUCCAGGGAUAUCUCCAGGAGAAAAUGCUUUUUUUCAGGGUGAGAGCUGUUCUUUUUCUGAGACUUGACUUUCCCAGGAAUCUGUUCAGGGAAUUUGGGGACAGCAAACAUCAGAGUAGUCACAGGGUCAACUUAUCAAUUUCUGCAAGGAAUCCAGCUAGAAUUUUGAUGGAGUGAAUUGACUCUGCAGAUCUGUUGGGGGAAUAUGGUCAUCUUAAAAAUAUUAAAUCUUCUGGUCCAUGAACAUGGGAUAUUUUUCCAUUUAUUUAGAUCUUAGUCUCUUUCAACAAGAUUUUUCAAUAAUUUUCAAAGUAUAAAUUUUGCAUUUCUUUUGUUAAAUGUAUUCCUUACUAUCUUAUUAUUUUUGAUAUUGUAAAUUAAUUUUCAUAAUUUCAUUUUACUGAACUCAUGCAUUAUUUAUAAACUUUUAGUGGAUUAAGUUAUUUUCUCUAAAUAAAACCAUGUCAUCUG